GGGCCGCUGGUCUAGUGGUAUGAUUCUCGUAAGUCAUUGCAUCUCCUCCACAUAUGCGGGUUGGUCGUCCUAACAAAAUCAGGCUUAGGGUUCACCCUGAAGUACACAUUGCGAGAGGUCCCGGGUUCAAUCCCCGGGUGGCCCC